UCAACGAUUCUAGAAUACCCUUUUGCUCUACGAGUAACGGGUAUAAAAAUAGAGAGCAGUAAAGAUUCGGAUUUCUUUCAUUCCAUCUUUAGCCCCCCCUGCAGCCAACCCCUUUUAAUGACCGCCGCCACUUGGGGAACCCCCCUCCCGGAUGAGUGAGCGAUAUCUGUAUCUGCCAGAUGCAUCUAGUUUUGGCUUUCGACUUGCCAGCGGAUUGGAGGCCUCAAACAAUUUGCCGGCUGUCAGUGUGACAAGUGUUGCGAAAUGCCGCUGAAAAGGCCGCACACACGACAAAGACUCAUGGAUAGUUGAACAGACAGUGAGAUCUCCCCUUGACGCACCUCUUGACGUCUUAAAUUCAAGUUUGGUCAGUUCAUUCGCUGCGGAUAUACCACAUCUUAGAGAUAAGUCGCUGAAUUAAAAGGGGUGUAUCUUUCGACCGAAUGUAGUUUAAUACGUAAAUAGGUGUCCAAAGCGCUCGGUUAUCUUAAGUUUUUUUGGAUUGCUUAUUUGGUUUGGGCUAUAUUUUAUUUAGAUGCCGUUUGGCUGCUCGUUGGCGGACUUGAGCGGUUUGAUGCGAAUUGACAGCUGUUUGCCAGAUGCCUGAGGUUGGUGGGGCGUUCAGAGGUGACUGUCAGCCAGACUCACUGGCGGCACAACUUCAAAGUCGACUGAUUUAAUACGCUACGAAAGCGUUUGCAAUUAGCGAACGGUGAUCACAGCUAGCGACUUAAUUUCAUGACUGGGCGUUCAAAAAACGCAGAAAAGUUGGCAGGGGACUGUGAAUUGUAUAAAGUAGUAUGCUGCUAAGUAGAUUCAUAACUCCAGAUCGGUGACUUCAUUUGCGGUGCUUAUUUGCCAACGAUGCAAAGUUCGGUAAAACACCCCAAACUAUUGAUGUUCUCCUGAGCCAUCAGGACCGGCAUAUGCAGAUAGGCAUACUAUGGAUCUGUCAUUCUUCAUUAGCCCUAGCUUAGAUUGUCCUUACUCCAAAGAUACGGAUCGAUUGUUUUGUAGCUAGUCGUGUUAGCCGACUUUUUCGUUCCCCUCGCAACGUGAUCGCUGCCAGAACUGUCAAGAGAUGCCGACGACGUACGGCUGUCGUCUCACAAUUAAUUGACAUUUUGACUGCAGUGGAUUGUCAUUCAAAGGCAGACUUCGUCGAGCGGAAUGCACCAAAGGAGCUCCUCGCCAAUUGCCUGAAGAUAUUGAGGCAUCCGCCGAACACCGAAAGGCACACCAUUAACUACUUUUUUUUGACUUAGGAAUUGAAUGUUUGGUUUGAAAUGUGAAUUGUCCGAAAAAUGUAACAGACUCUUUUAAAUGCAUCACAGAUUUCAUUUGCCGUAACAUAUUUUUAGAUACUAUUCCGAAUACUUUUUAUCAUUGACCGAACAUAUUUUUCAAAGAUAUUUUGAGGGGGUAAGAAUACUAUACUUAAUUUAUUCCGUGCUGUAUUCACCGCACAUAAUGCUUUUAAGUCGCUGACUAUGGCUGUUUCGUUCCGUUGCCAAGCUAGAUAAUCUGCGGCAGCAAUCUGCGGGCCGGGGGCUCUUUAAGGCCCAAAGGCACUUCAGCUGUCCCAGAUCUCUGGGGCUCAGUGAGGUUCUGCGGCUACGUAGGCAAUACAAUUGGCACAUGUUUGACCAGUCCUGUCCUCGUCUAAAGAUACUUCGACGGUCUCUGGAGGGAUUUAGAGCUUGGCGAUCGGGAACCGGGAACAGGGAGACCUGACAGGCCGUGGAAUUGUAUUGGCUUUGCGGAAGGUAAUGUAUACGCUGCCGUCUGCUGAUCUGACAUUUUGUCAGGCGGCAUUACCGAAAUAAGCUGCACUUUGCCGACUCUACAUGCAACGUGCCGUCUGUUUUUACUUAUUUCCCUUUCUUUUUUAUUGUUUAGAUUCGAAGAAAGAGAUCACAGAGUUGGACGGCGAGAGAAGGAAGCGUUCGGGUCAAUUCACACGAGCGCAGGGGCGCAGUUCCAUUAAGUUAAUUGCCAUGUAAUUACGAGGAACAACAAGAACAGCAACAGUGCGUAAUACCACGCCAGAAACAACCACAUCCCAACGUCAUCUCCAACAUCCUGCUGCGCUGCAUAAAAGCGAAACAAAAGACUUAGGACACAAACCUGCCUUUGAGGUUCGUCGCUUAGUGGACGCUUUUUCUAUUGGCACCUUUUAGAUACCCUUUCGAAUUUAAUGGCUCAAAUAUUAGUUUGUAUCAAUUUAACAGGACAGUGUGUAUUCGAUAGAUAGCAUAUUCUCCACUAAUCUUCCACUUCCCCAGUGACUCUGACAUUCCAGUUGGCUAGCCUGCUGCUUUUUCUUCUUUCGUUCCUCGCCAUCAACUCACUCCUUCUCCUCCUGCUUCCCACUUUCGCUUCUCAUUCGCUGAGUGGCUGGGAAGGCAUUUGAAAAACGUUGCCGCAUUUUUUGCGUGUGCCAGCAGCCGAAGCAGCAGAAAAUAAAAAAUAACGCAUAAGCCGCCACUGCUGGAAUGAACUAAUUGUUUUUGGGUUUUUUUUUCAUGUAUAUAUUUUCUGUGUGUUUAUCUGGGCUUCGUCUGAUUUUCAGCCCUGUCAAAUUGUUUUCGCCAACAUUGCAACUGCCCUACCCAUCAUUAUGGGAAUGGAAUAAGGACAGGUCCCAAGUUCCAGCGAAAAGAUCAAUUCGCAUGAACAACAAUCACUUCAAAAACUAUUUGGAUAUAUGUUUACAUCAUCCGUCCAUCAAUUUUAAAGUAUUCUUUAUGUUUAUAUGUCUUGAUAGCGCGCAAGCCUUUGGUUGAGUGUUGUGUGUAUUCUCGCCAAGCGCCGGACUUCAAAGUCACUGAGCGCUGAGCAGGAACAACAAAAGUAAUGGCAGCAGCUUUCUGCAUUUAGUUUGACACUAUCAGCGUUAAGUCGUUUUCAAUACCGCCCUGAUGGAUUCCUCACGCCUCUGCACCCCUUGCCAUAAUUACAAUGCAAACAAAGCAGAGCGGUCUACCGUCCCGCUCUCACUGCGUGCUAUCUCGCUUUAGGGGACGGACGUAAGCCAGGUAGCUGAAAUAGCAACAACAACAACCUGGCGCUUGACGUUUGCAGACUGUGUUCCGAUAAGAACGUUCGCUAGGUUGCUUUUCUUAUCAGAAACGUCCGGCGGAUUAACUCUGUGGAUUCCAUAUUUUCUUCGAGCACAUUUUUAUGAUUUUUCCAGCCGAUAGAAAAAGCUGAUAGCCAGACAAAUGCAAACAUAUUAGUUGUGGUUUCUAUUUAUCGGAAGAACAGCGAAGAAACGGGAAUUUAUAAUGCUAGCUAUUAUGACAGUUGCGAGAUAAACGCUAGAUGACACGUAAGCCGCCUUUUCGGAUUUAGAAGCAGUCACUGCGGCCCAUUUAACUGGCAAGGCGGUGGGAAAUACGUAGGAAGAUCUAUGAACUAAGCCUGGAGUCUCAUUUUCCGGUAGGUAAGUUCUUGGGGUGGGAUGGAUGCUUACGAAAUGGCCUUUUUACUUAAUUUCUUUAAUCAAAUUAAUAUCGGUUAGAUAUUGAUAGUGUGGUAUCGGCUUAAUAUGUGUACUUUGCCCUGCUAAGGUUAAGUCAUACGGCCUAAAUAUAUGCGGCUGAUACGGGCCUUUAGCGAGCGAUAAGCCAUAGGCAAUUCUCAUAAAAGGUAAGGUUUACGGCAUUCUUGUGGGCACCGCACUGUUCUCGAUAUCAAAAGCCCCCUUUGAAACCCCGUUUCACCUGGGAUUGGUGGCUGAGCAUUCUUAAUGGGUUUUGAUUUUCAAAAUCAAACAAUUUUAUUGUCGCCAUCGUCGGUGUUGCUGUUGUUGCUUUAUAGCUGCCAUGUAUUUGGUUGCGGCCUUGUUGAAGUUUUGUUUUCGCUUUGUUUUUCCACAGGGAACUCUCGCUCGUCAGAUAAUUCCUUGCUCAAAUAUUUACAAUUACUUUACAUAAAAUGCUGUUUUGUUCAGUGGGAAGUGGGUUACCACGGCACAAAUUUCAUUGGGCUUUAUGAAUGUAGUAGCGAAGAAUGCGACGUACUCUUCGCAGGUGUUCAACGCUAUGAAAGUUGUUUUAUAUUAUUGGAAAUUUUAUUAAUUAACAUUAUGAAACCCACGAGAUUGGUGAGCUUUUUUUCCCCGUUCAUAGUUGAGGCAACGCUGGCAGCCGCAAGAUGGUUAUCUAUGGAACCAACUCAGUGCGAAGACGCACCUUCAAUUAAUUCACUUGUAAUUAACGCUCGACAAGCACUUUGUUGGCACUUGAUUGCAACGCCCACUCGCAAACAGGCACACAGACAGACAAACAAACAAACUCACCGCCCAACUAACAAAAGAUAAACUGAAAAACUGGCAAAGGAGAAGUACACUCUUGGUCUUGGACACGGACGGAAAAAUUGGAAUUACAACCGACCUUCUCGGUCUGCUCUCCAUUUGCACCCAAAAUACCAUUAUUCGAAUUUCAUUUCACGUGGCAUGCCGCCGUCUUACGGUGAAUAUGUGUGUUUUUCCAAUUGCCGACUGAUAAGAAUCAUAUUUGUGUAUGUAUUGCAGUUCCACUUCAGCUUUCCUUAACACCUCACCAAGUCGAAACAUUGAACAGGGAUCUCGGGAUCUACGCAUAUGUAAACUUCCAUAUCCAAAUUCGUCUCACCUUUGCCUCUCAUUUCGUCCAUGCGAUCUGCAGUACUUUGUUAUUGAGUCCGAGCAUUUGUGUAAAUACGCCCCUGUAUGUACAAACGUAUCCUCUGAAGCUUUUGAUGAUUUUUAUUGCCGCUUGGUGGGGUGGCCGUAGGAAUCUCUUUGAUUUCUGUGUUUUAUAUGGCUUCCAGAUGCUUCGAUCAGUUUAACAUGGUUCCCAUUCAAAUCAUUCGGUGUGUUUGUAAUUUCUUCAGAUCCAGGAUGGCUGCUUAAUUGCCCCUUGAGAUUUGGCCGCGAUUCGUUCACUGCCCUCUCUCGUCUGGACAACAAAGAAGAAGCCAAAGAAAACCGAGAAAACCACGAAAACCAUGGAAGCCCACUCCCAGAUCGGACAAUGCCUUUUACUUUCCUCUUUUCAGCGCCACGAUGAAACAAAGUAGGCGGCAACGCGCACCACUGAGCCCCUUAAAAAUACAAAAAAAAAAAAACAAAGAGGAAAUAUUCAGACCUGCAGCCAGA
rnacentral:sRNA from 1 species